rnacentral:tRNA from 1 species
GGCCUGUUAGAUCAGUUGGUUAGAGCGCCAUGCUGAUUACGCGGAGGUCAUGAGUUCGAUCCUCUUACAGGCCA